AGUCGGAGCACAUAAAAAAAAAUCACUAAGAACAUAUCAAGUACAUUGAAUUGUAAACAAUUUGAUGUUGCCUCUAAGUUAGUUGGUAUGGAUUCUCGUGCUAGAGAGAUAAGUUUGCGAUUGGAUUUGGAAUUAGAUGAUGUUCGUAUUAUUGGGAUAUGUGGAAUUGGCGGAAUAGGUAAGACAACCAUCGCCAAAGUUAUAUACAACCAAUUUUUUUAUCAAUUUGAGCAUACAAGCUUUCUUGAAAAUAUUAGUGAGAUUUCCAAAAAUCAAGGGUUACUUCAUUUACAAAAUCAACUUCUUUGUAAUAUCUUAGAGGUGGAAGAAAAUAUAUAUAUAAGUGCAAUUGGCCAAGGAUCUAAUAUGAUAAAAAACAUUCUCCGAUCUAAAAGAGUUUUCAUCGUUUUGGAUGAUGUUGAUGAUUCAAAUCAAUUGGAAUCCUUAGUCGGAAAUCAUGACUGGCUUGGAAAUGGAAGUAGGGUCAUCAUAACAACUAGAAACAAACAUUUGCUAACAGUGCAAAGAGUAGAUGAGUUAUAUGAGGUUGAAAAAUUAAAAUUUGAAGAUGGUUAUGAGCUCUUCAAUUGGCACGCCUUUAGACAAAAUAUUCCCAAACAAGAUUUUAUAAAUCUCUCAUAUGAUGCAGUAUGUUACUGUCAAGGCCUUCCAUUAGCUUUGAAAAUUCUAGGUUCUCUUCUGAUUGAUAAGACAAGACCUCAAUGGAAAAGUGAAUUGAAAAAAUUGAAAAGAGAGCCAGACAAGAAAAUUCACAAUAUCCUCAAACGAAGUUUUCAUGGGUUAGACCACACACAAAAGGAUAUAUUCCUUGAUAUUGCAUGUUGUUUUAAAGGCAAAAAAAGAAAUUUUGUUUCAAGAAUAUUGGAUGGUUGCAAUUUUUAUGUAGAAAGAGGACUAAAAGAUCUUAGUGAUAAGUGUCUUAUAACCAUUCUAAACAAUUGGAUAAAUAUGCACGAUUUGAUACAACAAAUGGGUUGGGAGAUUAUUCGUGGAAAGUUUCCUAAUGAGCCUAGCAAAUGGAGUAGAUUGUGGGAUCCCGAAGAUAUUGAACGUGCAUUUGCAACUAGUGAGGCAAUGAAGAAAAUGGAGGCAGUAUUCCUAGACUUGUCAAGAUUAAAACAAAUGCAAUUUAAUACAAAAGUUCUUUCAAAGAUGAAUAAACUUAGAUUGCUCAAAGUUUAUUGGAGGAGGCAUUAUGGUCAUGUGAGAAAGGACUAUAAAUUGACUCUUCCUGAAAACUUUAAAUUGAUCCUUCCUGAAAACUUUGAAUUUCCUUCCUAUGAGUUAAGAUAUCUUUAUUGGGAAAGAUACUCUUUGAAAUCUUUGCCAUCAAAUUUCAAAGGUGAGAACCUUGUGAAAAUCAAAUUGCCGAAUAGUAAUAUAAGACAACUUUGGCAAGGAAAUAAGUGUCUUGGAAAGUUAAAGGUCUUAGAUUUAUCGGAUUCCAAGCAGCUCAUUGAAUUACCAAACUUCUCAAAUAUAUCAAAUUUAGAAAAACUAAUUCUUCAUAACUGUAGAAGUUUGGAUAAGAUUGACUCAUCUAUUGAAGUGUUGAAGAACCUUAAUGUUCUAGACUUGAGUUGGUGCAAAAAGCUUACCAGUCUGCCAAGUGGCAUGCAGUACUUGGACUCUCUUGAAAUUCUUAAUUUAAAUGGUUGCUCAAACUUGGAGAAAUUCCCAAAGAUUAGAUGGAGUUUUAGGAAAGGCCUAAAGGAGAUUCGUUUGGAUGGUACUCCUAUCAAAGAAUUGCCCUUCUCAAUAGAUGAUCUCACCUUAGUUAAGAUUUUAUCUAUGGGUGACUGCAAAAACGUGAGGAGUCUUCUCAGCAGCAUUGGUAGUUUGAAAUCCCUUCAACUUCUCUAUCUCCAAGGCUGUUCAAACCUAGAGACUUUUCCAGAAAUCACAGAAGACAUGGCAAGUUUAGAACUCCUUAGUCUAUCAGAAACAGCUAUAAAAGAGUUGCCACCAACCAUUCAACAUCUAAAACAGCUCCGAUUACUGUUUGUGGGUGGCUGUUCAAGACUAGAGAAAUUUCCCAAGAUCCUGGAGAGUCUGAAAGAUUCCUUAAUAAAUCUAGAUCUUAGCAAUAGAAAUCUGAUGGAUGGAGCAAUCCCCAAUGAAAUAUGGUGCCUAUCCUUGCUGGAAAUUUUAAAUCUGAGAAGGAACAAUUUUCGUCACAUACCUGCUGCUAUAACUCAACUUCGUAAGCUGACACUCCUAAAAAUCAGUCACUGCAAGAUGCUUCAAGGUUUUCCAGAGGUUCCAUUAAGUCUAAAACAUAUAGAAGCACAUGACUGCACAAGCCUGGAAACUUUAUCAAGUCCAUCAAGUAAACUAUGGUCUUCUCUUCUCCAAUGGUUCAAGUCAGCAAAAUUUCAGGAUCAUGAAGCGCAACCAAAGUGUGCAGGAAUUAUGAUUCCCGGAAGUAGUGGAAUUCCAGGGUGGGUAUUGCAUCAGGAAAUGGAAAGAGAAGUGAGAAUAGAGCUUCCUAUGAAUUGGUGUAAGGAUAACCACUUCUUGGGAUUUGUUUUGUUCUGUCUUUAUCAAGAUAAUGGCACUGAUCCAUAUUUAAGCUAUGAUUUGAGAUUGCAUGAUGAUGAGGAUUCAUAUGAAGCUGUGCGUCGUGGAUGGUUUGGUUGUCAAUGUGACUAUUAUCCUAAUAUUUAUAGUGGUGUAUUAGAUGAAUUGUGGGUGACAUAUCAUCCUAAGAUUUCUAUUCCAGAAAAGUACCAUUCCAAUCAGUUCAAGCACAUUCAGACUUCAUUUUCUGCUUUAACUGUUGGAGUUAUCAAAAGUUGCGGGAUCCAUCUUAUAUACUCUCAAGAUCAUCAACAGAAAAAUACCGCAUUACUAGAUUCUCUUGGCACUCAAGAUGAUGAUCUUCCCGACAAUUUUCAGGACAAUACUGAAUCAGUAGCAGAAGAUACGAAUGGUAAUGUCAAGAGACGCAGAAUAAACCCAAGCAGAGGAGCCACCCCAUAAAAGAUUGAGAACAUCCAUCUCUAUCUUUAAUUCCUUCACUCAAGUUGUCAUGAAAAAUUUUCGCCCACAAGAUUGUUCACACGUUGUUCAUCUUCGAGAUUCUUAAAACUAUGCAACAGGCUACCAGUUGAUAAAUUGGAAGUUGUUCGAGACCUUCAGUUUGGAGGUCUUCUCAACUUAAAUUGCAAGGAGAUACGACAUAAUAUAUGUUUAUGGUUGAUCGACCAUUUUAACGUUGGCUUUAGACGCAUAGACAUAUCAUUCGACAAAAGCUAUGAUCUUACUGCUGUAGAUGUUGGCCUUGUAUUUGGCCUCCCGACAAGCGGACAGAUUCUACAAAUUGCAUCAACCCCGUCUGAGCAUCCAUUUGGUACACUCAACACUUGUGAGGAGAGACUCCUCAACUUACCUGUCGGGGAAGAGUUCCGUAGAUGCUUCCUUUACUGCGCAUGUGCGACGAUAUUGGCGCCAAUGUCAAGGAUAGAUGGAUGUCGAAACUUAUGGCAUACCAUCCAUGAAGAUGGUUUUCGAAACGAUGCCAACUGGGGCCAAUUUUUUGUUGACCAGCUGGUUGAGGGUAUUAGACGAUUUAAACAACGGAACAGUAUUUGGGUACAUGGUUGCAUCCCCUUCCUCCAGCUCCACUACGUAAUUAAAUUCAAGAUUCCUUCAGUUCAUGUUCCCAUGACAGUGCCCCUCCUCUCCGCAUGGUCAGAUGAGUUGAUAAAGGAGCGCUUAGCUGCUGAGAUAAGUCAGUUUGGUAGUUUCGAACAUGGCGAGGGGUUUGAUUAUUCGUCACCGCCCCGUACGACACCGCCCUGUACACAUGUGGAGUUUGAUAGUGGCCCGACAAGUAGUCAUCAUAACGUGCAAUAAAUCAAUAUCAAAAGGGCAUUCAGCACCAGCUAGGCAUCAUGCAUGGUGUGAUGCAUACAUUGGAUGGCCAAAAACAGCGAAGUCGACCUUCGCUUGCCGCUGGUGACUCAAGCUAUGUAGCCCAUGAAUUUUCGCAGCCCGAACCGCAUUCAGACUAUGGCGGAGAUGACAUCGCUUCCCAUGGCACUAUAGACGUACCUGACACACCAAUUUGGCAUCCAUCAGAUAUUGCCGAUGAAGAAGUAGUCGUCCUUGAACAGUUGCCUUUGCAAUCUAUGGUUGUGGCUCCAUCUGAUAGGAGUGGCAGGCGACGAAGAGUGCGUCAGUUGGCUCCCAAUCUAUUGUCACCAUUCAUAGCGCAACCACAAACCCGCCAGUAUGCCAUCAAGAUGGGCCUCAAAGAAGCAGCUGCAAUUGUUUUUUAUGGCGCCUUGGACCCAAGGUUUGACAUAGCAUAUAAUACUCCACUUUCAAAUGUAUUCACCUCCACAUAUUUGGUAUUACCCUAACGUUGAUAGUUUUGUUGACAACGAGGAAAUUGUUGCAAUGCAUGACACGAGUUUAAGCAGAGGCAACCUCGCCUCUUUCCAAGGAAACAGCUGGAUUGGCAAUCAUGUUAAUAUAUCAAUUUCUCCAUUACUUUGCAAUAUUUUUAAUUUAAUAUUCAUGUACCAUCUUGUCAUUAGUGUCUCUGAAUAUUGCUUACAUAUUAAUCACUUCUUCUCUUAGGUCGUGGAUACAUAUUGUAGAUUGUUGUAAUUCGAUGAUGUAUCAAGGAUCAAACUCUUUCUUUCGCCAUACAUAGCUGUAAUGGAGGGCUUUGAUGGACACUACAAUUCAAUGUUUUGUUGUUAUAACAUGUCAACAAGUUUCCUUACCCUAUAAAGCUUAAACUUUUUUCAUAUCAUAUGCAGGAAAUGGUCAUGCGUUCCAACGCCAAACAUUUGAUGCACGAAGCAGUAAUUGGCCGUUUUGAGCCAUAUUUGUAUCCUUUCGAUGUUUCCUAUCAGAAUGUUAAUGAGGUCUACUUACCAGUUUUUCUCAAAAACCAUUGGACGCUUUAUGUUUAUGACUUACAUAACAAACGAAUCCAGCUCUUGGAUUCUCGACUUGGAAGGAGAAGGAGUUGUAUGAGUGGGAUACAACAAAAUUUGGCCAAGGUUGUUCUAUGGCUUGUUUCCUACAAGAAACAAAUGGUGGAUGUAGACUUGAAGAUGUUCUGUUUUGUCAUGCCAGACGUACCAAGUCAACCAAAUGAGUUAGUGUUUACUUUGCAGUCUGUGACUAGAUUUAAAUUUUAUUGCAAGUCAAUUUAUGUAUAUUAUCGUUGCUAUGUCACGCCUAAUAAAUAAUUACCCGUUACUUUGUGUGAUAACAAUGACUGUGGAGUAUUUGUUAUGAAAUUCAUGGACAACUGGUCAAAUGGAGGCCUCUCCAAAUCCAUCGAUGUGGGCAAGAUUAAGAAGUAUAGAUUGAAGAUAUUGGGGAGAUUGUUGCUUUCCUCACAUAAUGCACAUCGACAUCGCUUUCUCGUGGAUUGAAGGACACUAUUCAAUUGGUUGUGCCAAGGAUAUUUUCAAUUGAUUGUACAUUAUUUUGUGAAACCUAACUAUUUUCAAUGUAUUGUAUAUAGAAGUUAGUGAUGAAUGCACAGCUAAGGUUAACAACAGUACGAUUUAUGUUUAAACCAAACAAGUUAAGCGUUCAAAAGCCCUUGGCUUCAUAAGUAUUCAGAAAUGAAAUUGGGAUUGCUACUUGAAAUGUAUACAGUAUACAAAAUUGCGUCGGAAUAAGAGUUGUACUUUGAUUGGUCAUUGCAUGGAUCA